rnacentral:rRNA from 1 species
GGAGCGUAGGCGGCUUGUUAAGUCAGGGGUGAAAGACGGUGGCUCAACCAUCGCAGUGCCUUUGAUACUGACGAGCUUGAAUAUAGUUGAGGUAGGCGGAAUGUGACAAGUAGCGGUGAAAUGCAUAGAUAUGUCACAGAACACCGAUUGCGAAGGCAGCUUACUAAGCUAUUAUUGACGCUGAGGCUCGAAAGCGUGGGGAUCAAACAGGAUUAGAUACCCUGGUAGUCCACGCCCUAAACGAUGAUAACUCGAUGUUGGCGAUAUACAGUCAGCGUCCAAGCGAAAGCGUUAAGUUAUCCACCUGGGGAGUACGCCCGCAAGGGUGAAACUCAAAGGAAUUGACGGGGGCCCGCACAAGCGGAGGAGCAUGUGGUUUAAUUCGAUGAUACGCGAGGAACCUUACCCGGGCUUGAAAGUUAGUGAAUCAUUUAGAGAUAGAUGAGUCCGCAAGGACACGAAACUAGGUGCUGCAUGGCUGUCGUCAGCUCGUGCCGUGAGGUGUUGGGUUAAGUCCCGCAACGAGCGCAACCCUUGUCAUUAGUUGCUACGAAAGGGCACUCUAAUGAGACUGCCGGUGACAAACCGGAGGAAGGUGGGGAUGACGUCAAGUCCUCAUGGCCCUUAUGGGUAGGGCUUCACACGUCAUACAAUGGUACAUACAGAGGGCCGCCAACCCGCGAGGGGGAGCUAAUCCCAGAAAGUGUAUCGUAGUCCGGAUUGUAGUCUGCAACUCGACUGCAUGAAGUUGGAAUCGCUAGUAAUCGCGGAUCAGCAUGUCGCGGUGAAUACGUUCCCGGGUCUUGUACACACCGCCCGUCA